rnacentral:rRNA from 1 species
UGAGUGCGAGCUGCUACGGCAGCGAAGUUGGUGAUGUCAUGCUUCCAAGAAAAGCCCUAUACCCGUUAAGGCAUCAUGGCCUGUACCCGAAACCGACACAGGUGGGGUGGUAGAGAAUACCGAGGGGCGCGAGGUAACUCUCUCUAAGGAACUCGGCAAAAUGGCCCCGUAACUUCGGGAGAAGGGGUGCCACCGCAAGGUGGUCGCAGUGAAGAGGCCCAGGCGACUGUUUACCAAAAACACAGGUCUCCGCUAAGUCGCAAGACGAUGUAUGGGGGCUGACGCCUGCCCAGUGCCGGAAAGUUAGGGAAGCUGGUCAGCGCAAGCGAAGCUAGCGACUGAAGCCCCGGUGAACGGCGGCCGUAACUAUAACGGUCCUAAGGUAGCGAAAUUCCUUGUCGGGUAAGUUCCGACCCGCACGAAAGGCGUAACGAUCUGGGCGCUGUCUCGGAGAGAGGCUCGGCGAAAUAGAAUUGUCUGUGAAGAUGCGGACUACGUGCACCCGGACAGAAAGACCCUAUGAAGCUUUACUGUAGCUUGGUAUUGUGCCCGGGCUCGCAAUGCGCAGGAUAGGUGGGAGGCUUUGAUCAUCGGCUCGCGGGUCGAUGUGAGCCAACGGUGAGAUACCACUCUUUGCGAGCUAGGGUUCUAACGGCCACCCGUCAUCCGGGGGCCGGACAGUACCUGGUGGGCAGUUUGACUGGGGCGGUCGCCUCCUAAAAGGUAACGGAGGCGCGCAAAGGUUUGCUCAGGCUGGUUGGAAAUCAGCCGACGAGUGUAAAAGCAGAAGCAAGCUUGACUGUGAGACCAACAAGUCGAACAGGGAGGAAACUCGGCUUUAGUGAUCCGACGGUUCUGAGUGGAAGGGCCGUCGCUCAACGGAUAAAAGUUACUCUAGGAUAACAGGCUGAUCUCCCCCAAGAGUUCACAUCGACGGGGAGGUUUGGCACCUCGAUGUCGGCUCAUCGCAACCUGGGGCUGAAGUCGGUCCCAAGGGUUGGGCUGUUCGCCCAUUAAAGCGGUACGCGAGCUGGGUUCAGAACGUCGUGAGACAGUUCGGUCCAUAUCCGGUGCACGCGCAGGAAUAUUGAGAGGAUUUCUCCCUAGUACGAGAGGACCGGGAGGAACGCACCUCUGGUGUACCAGUUAACGUGCCAACGGUAAACGCUGGGUAGCCAUGUGCGGAGUGGAUAACCGCUGAAAGCAUCUAAGUGGGAAGCCCACCUCAAGAUGAGUAUUCCCAUGGCGUAAGCCAGUAAGGUCACGGGAAGAACACCCGUUGAUAGGCUCUAUGUGGAAGCGCAGUAAUGCGUGAAGCAGAGGAGUACUAAUAGACCGAGGGCUUGACC